UACGAAGGGGGCUAGCGUUGCUCGGAAUUACUGGGCGUAAAGGGCGCGUAGGCGGACAGUUUAGUCAGAGGUGAAAGCCCAGGGCUCAACCUUGGAAUUGCCUUUGAUACUGGCUGUCUUGAGUAUGGGAGAGGUUAGCGGAACUCCGAGUGUAGAGGUGAAAUUCGUAGAUAUUCGGAAGAACACCAGUGGCGAAGGCGGCUAACUGGCCCAUUACUGACGCUGAGGCUCGAAAGCGUGGGGAGCAAACAGG
rnacentral:rRNA from 1 species